rnacentral:sRNA from 1 species
UUGAAUAGUCUAUCCCCAGAAUAAGUACAGCGUGAGCCACAGCAAUAUAAGAUUUCCCUACACUGUUUUCUGUCAUUCUGCCUAAUCUUUGACCUCAAUGGAUGACCUCUGGAGAGAAGAGGAUCCGUUAAGUUUUGGUUUUU